UCAGCCAGGGCCUCUCUGUGCGGAGUUUGCAUGUUCUCCCCAUGUUUGCGUGGAUUUCCUCUGGGUACUCCGGUUUCCUCCCACAGUCCAAAGACAUGCAGGUUAGGCUGGAGGGUCUAAAUUGCCUGUAGGUUUGAGUGUGUGUGUGCCCUGCAAUGGACUGGCGACUUGUCCAGGGUGUAUUCCUGCCUUUUGCCCAAUGUAUGCUGGGAUAGGCUCCAGCCAACCCUACGACCCUGUUCAGGAUAAGCAGGUUAGGAUAAUGAAUGAAUGUAAUCAUUUGUAAUAUAUGAUAUAUAUUUGCAUAAUGAUAAUAUUCAAUUUUUUUUCUUCAUGGCAUGCAUGGGUAUCUCUUACAUACUUUAUCAUUUCUCUGACUUUGUUCAGGAGGUCAGAUUGUGGCUGUGGCUGCAGCUGUGGGAGUCAGUGCCAUUGUGGCUCUUGUGUUUCUUGGUGUUGUCUGGGUGAGGUACGUGACUGGAAAUGUGUCACUGUUCGCAGUCCACAGGCUAAAACUAGCAUAUUUCUGUAGAAUGGUGUUGUCAUAUGCUAAUUACAUUGCUUCAUGCUGAUGCCAUAGUCCCCCUCUGUUGUCUGAUUAGUGCUUGUCUCAUCAGUCUGAUUAUUGCUUGUCUCAUCAGUCAUUUGGGAUUAUUGUACUGUCAACCUUAAAUGUGCAGGCUCAUUUCCUGUGAUGGAAUGACAUUUGAACAAUAAAAAAUACUGGCGGCAAAUACUUGGCAAUACACAUCAUUCAAACAAAUGCAAGAUGCUACUUGCAACAGAAGGUUUUGUCUCAGUGUUUCUCUGAAGUUGUUUUCUCCAGAUAGUUUUGCUCUGCAGAUAGAUCCAGAUAGUUUUGCUCUGCAGAUAGGUCCAGAUAGUUUUGCUCUGCUGAUGGAUUCAUCUUCCUACUUUUAAAUUAAGCAAGAGAAGAAAAUCAACAAAUGAGACAGUGCACACAGAAGGGGACAGGGAGGUAAGUCAAUCAAAAGACAUAUUUCAGACAUAAUAUAUAUUACAUGAGGCCUGCUCCAUCAAAACCACUCCUAUUGGCCCCAAAGCAUAUUUUCAUUUCUACACAAGAUAUCAAGGGAGCCCUGUCCCAUUUCAUUUUGAAUGGCACCAAACCCUUUAAAACUAUAUUUCUACGCUGAACAUUUGAUAUUAAGAUAUACAGACCAUGACAGCAAAGACAUGUAGCUAUGAAUGCGGCUAAUGUGGUUGUUUGUGACUGGUGAACGGUGACAAUCCUUCACCUGCCUCUUUCUUCUGCCCUGUAGGGGAAUAAAGGCCCCAUUUAUAGCAACGUCUCAGGGACGCCAAUGAGUCACACUGAAACCCUGGGUACAGACAGAGGAAACGGUGAAGUUCCCCUCUACUCCUCUGUACAACCUGCUAACACACACAACCAAGAAGAGCUUCUAUUCUCCACUGUGUGCUGCCCUCAGAGUGAGGAUGAGGUUCAGUAUGCCAGCGUCCAGUUCCUCCCCUCCGGUGCUGGCCCCAGGCCACCAGCAUCGACAGUGACGGAAGACUGCGUUCUCUACAGCACAGUUCGAAAACAUCAAACAUGAAAAUAAAGCGUCCACAUCUCUCAUUUCACAAACCUUGGGCCGACGCUGAUUAUGCAGUGUGCAAACAGUAUCUCUUUGAAUGUGCAAGCAUUUCCUGUGUUUUAAUAAGCAAAUAUUCUGUCUGGAUAGCAAUCAUUAAGCAUCAACAUCCUUCGCUUGGAAUCAACCAAACAUGUACCUGAUGACAUGAUGUACCUUAUGACUAAAAUAAUUGAUUAUAAGAUUGAAAAAGAUUUUUAAAUUUUUAAAUUUUUUAUUUAUUAGUUUAUUUGUCAGGGACAAUGCAGAGAUAAUUCUAACAGGUUACAAUAGCAUGACACAGAUGUGUUGCAUCUAGUAUUUCUAGCCAAGGCUAAUUAGCAAUCCCUGUUCUUUUUUUAAGCUUUUCUUCUUAAAAAUAGUCAUUACAUAUCAUCAUUACCAAAAGUACAUUAGUCAAAGUGAGCACAUAGUAAAUAGUGACAUUGCAGGUGAAUGCAGGUGAUUCAGGAUUUGCUGAGCAGACAUACUAUCUGAGUGACAUAUAAGGGAAGAAACCGCUCCAGUCGUCACACUGGAGAUCAGACUCAGACUCUUUCAGGGACUGUUUACCUCUCUACUAUCCCCUUUUCCCCCAAUUUGCUCAUGAACUUAUGAACUCAGGUCACAUGACGGUGGUUAUUGGGUGUUUAAAGGUAUACUCAAAAUGGAUCGUUCCUUUGAAAUUCUUUCAACAGUAUAUGUGUUGUAUGUCUAUAUAUUGUACACAAAGUGUUAUAAAGAUGCCAUUUUAUUUAUUCAAGUUCAAGAGUGGUGAUCCCCUAAUAAACCCCUGACCACAGUA